rnacentral:rRNA from 1 species
UACGUAGGGGGCGAGCGUUGUCCGGAAUCACUGGGCGUAAAGCGCGCGCAGGCGGUCUUUUACGUCAGGGGUGAAAGCCCGGGGCUCAACCUCGGGACUGCCUUUGAUACGGGAAGACUUGAGGAUCGGAGAGGCAAGGGGAAUUCCACGUGUAGCGGUGAAAUGCGUAGAGAUGUGGAGGAACACCAGUGGCGAAGGCGCCUUGCUGGCCGAUGACUGACGCUGAGGCGCGAAAGCGUGGGGAGCAAACAGG